UACGGAGGAUGCGAGCGUUAUCCGGAUUUAUUGGGUUUAAAGGGUGCGUAAGCGGACUGUCAAGUCAGCGGUAAAAUUGAGAGGCUCAACCUCUUCCCGCCGUUGGAACUGGUGGUCUUGAGUGGAUGAGAAGUACGCGGAAUGCGUGGUGUAGCGGUGAAAUGCAUAGAUAUCACGCAGAACUCCGAUUGCGAAGGCAGCGUACCGGCAUCCAACUGACGCUGAGGCACGAAAGCGUGGGGAUCAAACAGG
rnacentral:rRNA from 1 species